rnacentral:rRNA from 2 species
CCCCGGUAAACGGCGGCCGUAACUAUAACGGUCCUAAGGUAGCGAAAUUCCUUGUCGGGUAAGUUCCGACCUGCACGAAUGGCGUAAUGAUGGCCAGGCUGUCUCCACCCGAGACUCAGUGAAAUUGAACUCGCUGUGAAGAUGCAGUGUACCCGCGGCAAGACGGAAAGACCCCGUGAACCUUUACUAUAGCUUGACACUGAACAUUGAGCCUUGAUGUGUAGGAUAGGUGGGAGGCUUUGAAGUGUGGACGCCAGUCUGCAUGGAGCCGACCUUGAAAUACCACCCUUUAAUGUUUGAUGUUCUAACGUGGACCCGUAAUCCGGGUUGCGGACAGUGUCUGGUGGGUAGUUUGACUGGGGCGGUCUCCUCCUAAAGAGUAACGGAG